AUGUGGGCACCUGAUAUCUAUGAGGGUUCACCCACCCCGGUGACAACAUUCCUUUCUAUUGCGCCUAAAAUCUCUAUUUCUGCAAAUAUGUCACGUGUUUCUAUUGUUGCUUCUUAUGGGGGUACAUUACAACAAAUCUUCUUUUUCUGCAGCAUUGCUUCUAUGAUCUUAGGAGCACUGGCCGCCAUGGCCCAAACGAAAGUCAAAAGACCUCUAGCUCAUAGUUCGAUUGGACAUGUAGGUUAUAUUCGUACUGUUUUCUCAUGUGGAACCAUAGAAGGAAUUCAAUCACUACUAAUUGGUAUAUUUAUUAAUGCAUCAAUGACGAUAGAUGCAUUCGCCAUAGUUCCAGCAUUACGGCAAACCCGUGUCAAAUAUAUAGCGGAUUUGGGUGCUCUAGCCAAAACGAAUCCUAUUUCGGCUAUGACCUUCUCCAUUACAAUGUUCUCAUACGCAGGAAUACCCCCGUUAGCCGGCUUUUGUAGCAAAUUCUAUUUGUUCUUCGCCGCUUUGGGUUGUGGGGCUUACUUCCUAGCCCCAGUGGGAGUAGUGACUAGCGUUAUAGGUCGUUGGGCGGCCGGAAGGUUGCCAUGA
rnacentral:rRNA from 1 species